UGUGUCUCCCUCUCUCUCUCUCUCUCUGCCCCUUCCCUGCUUGUGCUCUCUCUCUCUCAAAAAUAACAUUAAAAAAAAAAAAAACUUAAAAAGUGUAUGUUCUCAGUGUCGUGCAGCCACCGCCUCGUGUAGCCAAGUCCCGUGCAUUUCGCACCCCCCACUCCCCCCACAUCCGCCCCCUGGGUUUGUCUGUUGGGUUUGGCCAGAAUCCUACAACCUGGCCUCUCGUCCGUCUGUGGCUUGUUUCGCUCAGCAUCUGAAAUUCACCCACGCUGUAGCAGCUGUCAGUACGUCAUCCCUAUUUAUGACCAAAUAACACCCCAUCGUGUGCACGGAUCAUGUUUUGUGUGUCCUUUCGACAGCUGAUGGACGUUUGGGUUGUUUCCAUUUCUUAUCUGUUAGGAAUUGUGCUGCCAUGAACAUGUGUGUCCAAGUAUUUUGUUUAAAGGCCCGUUUUUAAUUCUUUGGGUUAUAUGCACACGAGUGAAAUUGCUGGGUCGUGUGGUCAUUGUUUCAUUUUUUGAGGAGCCCCUAAAUUGUUCCACAGUGGUUGUGCCGUUGCACAUUCCCACCAGCUGUGCACAGAGACUCUGGUUUCUCCAGGUCCUUGUCCACACUGUUGUUGGGAGGGGGGGAGGGGGGGCUCUGUUUUGCUUCAUGAUCAUGGUGGGAGGAAGUGGUUUUGAUUUGCAUUUCCCUGAUGACAGUGAUGUUGAGCAUCUUUUUAUGUGCUUUUUGGUCAUUUGUGUGUCUUGUUUGGAGAAACGCCGACCCAAGUUCUUCGCCCAUUUUUAAAUUGGGUUGUCUUCUGUUGUCCAGUUGUAGGAGUUCUUCGUGUUUUCUAGAUCCGUGAUUUUUUUCCCAUUCUGUGGAGUAUCUUUUCCCUUUCUUGCUAAUGACUUUUAGUGCAUAUUUUAAGUUUUGAUGAAGUUUAUCUUUUUUUUUUCUUUUGUUGUACCUUUGGUGGCACAUAAUAAGACCCCCAUUACCAAAUCCAAGAUCAUGAAGUUUUACCCCUAUCUUUUCUCCUGAGAAUUCUAUUGGUUUUAGCUGUUAUUCUGGUAAAUGACGUUCAAUGAUCCAUUUGGAGUUUUCAUACAUGGUGUGAGGUAGGGAUCCGGCGUCCUGUUUUUAAAUGUGGAUACCCCGUUUGUUGAAGAGACAUGGUCUCCCAUUGAAUGGUCUUGGCGCUCUUGUUGAAGAUCAGUUGUCUGUAGGUAUAAGUAUUCAUUUCUGGACUCCGUAUUACUGGUCUCUAUAUCCCUCCUUAUGCCAGUACCACGCUAUUUUGAUGAUUAUGGCUUUAUAGUAAGUUUUGAAAUCAGGAACUAACUGGAGCCCUCCAGCUUUGUUCUUUUUCAGUAUUUUGGAAAUCAUGAUAUAUCUUGAUAUAGUUUUCUUCAUGGUUCUUGUGCUUGGAAUUCGUUGAGCUUCUUGGAUUCCAGUAUUUGAUUAGAAAUAGUUCCAGGGAACAGGGAAGGAAAUCGCCAGUGAAACAAUUCACAAAGCUGUCCCAGAACAAAAGGUUGAGAGGGUCCACCCGCAAGGGACAGGGAAAGACCCACCCACACAGGGGACAUCACUGUGCAAUGCUAGAUCACCAAGGAUCCAAAAGCAGCUUCCGGAGGUGGGUGGGGAAACCCAGGUUACCCAGAGCCUCGGGAAUGAGAAAAGCGUCUGACUUGAUCUCUAGCAGGUGGAGGCUGGGAGGCGAGGGGGCAGAGCCUGAAAACAUCUGGAACGGGAAGGCAGGCAGGCCACGCUCUCCUGUAACAGCAAACUGGCCCCCUGGCCCCAGAAAGCACUGGAAGAUGUGCUCCGCCCGAGAGGAUCCUGAAGGGCACCCCCAGAACAGUGGGAAUGCAGGUCCCUGGCAAAGGGCUGGGCAGCCAUGGGAUGCAGCAGGACAGAGGGCUCCCGGCGAUGCUCAGAGGGGGAGGGGACGUCACAGGCCGAUAAACACUCGAGUCCCAGGCCUGGUAGGUAGAAAGUGGGGUUACAUUAGUACCUAGCAAACGCCACAAAAAGACUGUGUGAAUGAAGGCUGGACAGCUGACCCUUGAGCAGCACAGAGGUCAGGGAUGCCAGCCCUUCUCCCCCUGCAGUAGAAAUUCUGUCGCUUUUGUUCCUCAGAAACUUAACCGUGGGCAGCCUCCUACUGCCCAGUUGGUGCCCUCCUCCUGCAUCACUUGCUGGUGAUGCGUUAAAUACGCUGUAUUCUUAUGCGUAUUCUGUUGGGCACACAAAUACCGUAAAUAUUGUGUUCUUACAGCAGACUAAGCUAGAGAGAGGAAGACGCUGGAACAGCAGGAAGAAAAGAUACAUUUACGGUAUUUACAGUACUAGACUGUGGAGAAACAUCCACGCGUGAGUGGCUCUGCGCAGUUUAAACCUGUGUCCACGGGUCGGCUGUGGAAGAAAUUCAAUCACAGUGCAGGAUGCAACUAAGCUAGGAGGGAAGGCGGCUUAAUUAAGGUCAUGAAAGCCUGAACAUCAAUCUGUCCAGAAGUUAUAAACUACAUAGGAAGGACAGUUGUACUGGGGGGCAGGGCACGUAAGCUUCACCUUCCGACGUCACCAGUUAAAUGAGCAGCACCACGAAGGCUUUGGAAAUCCGUGGGCAGAUCCCAUGAGCGGCCGCUGGAGGCACCGAGCCUCUGGCUGGCCAGGCAGGCCCUGGGACCCGCUCUUUUCGUGCUAAGUCACCAGCUAGAACUGUUUGACUCGUAUCUGUGCAUAAGUGGUUAAAAAAAGUAAUCUUUUUACACAAAGCUGGUAAAUCCAGUUUCUGGACCAAAGGGAAAAUAUUUUGGGCGUGUUUCUGAACCUCAACAGUGGCCGUAUUAGGCCUCUGUGGGCCAAUGAGCGGGAGGAGAAGGCAGCCCUGUCUGGUGGCCCGUUCUGAAGGAUCACGAGAUUCCCGGACGGGCCAGUUUACUUUCCCCCCAACAGUGCUGGUAUUGAACGGUUUUUAACACGACCCUUUCAUAGCCUGGUCCCCUACACCACGGAGUGGACCGUAUGCCGAUGCUCGGCGUGGAGCCCAGAGCCUCCCCUCCGCCGUCCGCCCCAGCCCGGGCCUGACUUGGGGUCUGCACCGGAAGGCUGGUGGGAAUAAACGUCCUUGGGGGCCCCUCCACCUUGUCAGGCGCCCGCCCACCCCCGCUGCCUACUUGGUGGCAAAAGACUGUGGCCCCAAGGGGCCUGCUCCCUCCCUCCUUCCCAGCCCCAGGAGCAGACCCGGGGGGCAGUGCCCGUGGCCGCAGGCGGUGGUCUUGGGGUAACUUUAUGAGCUUCCCAGCUGGGCGGGGCCGCGGUGGCAGCAGCAGGGGUGGGCUCAGGAGCUCCCGCCUGCAUGUCCCUGGCCGUCCCCGCCGUCACCUUCAGACGCUGCUCCUCUGGGGCCGUCCCCCGUGGAGCAGCGGGCCUUCCACAACAAGCCUCCCGUUGGCUGGCAUGCCUCCCCCCCGCCCCCAUCCCCACAUCCUCCGGCACAGAACAGCCCGGGUGCCGCUGGACACAGUUCCCUUGUCGUCCACACCUUGUCUCUAAGAGGAAGGCUCCUACCUGCAACCCUGGGCCUGGGCAGGGAGGGGCCACGCUCAGCGGGGCUGUGGCAGGAAGCCCCUCGCGCCGGGCACGGCCGGCGGGGGUCAGCACAGGUGGCUGCCGUGCCGACUGGACCAGACUCGGGCACGGCCACGCCUGGCUGCAGGGAAGCUGGCGUAUGGGGUCUGUAGUCGGCUGCGGGCCCAGCUUAAAAUGGCAGUGGGGGCGGCUAGUCCUAAGGAGAAAGAAAAAUCAAACGUGAAUGCUGACCCCCUCCCCCCCCCCCCCCGAGGGCUCGCUUUCUGCUGGAACCCCCGAAGUGACAGACGUGCCUCGGACACUACUGUCCCGGCGAGCGAGCCGAUGGAGCUCCUCGGGUCCAAACCCGGAAUCCAGCCCCGCACGGCCGGCAGGCCCCUGCCUCCCACGGUCAUUCCGGGCCGUGCCCAGCAGGCGUGGUUCGCCUGGUCUCUGGUGUCUCUCCCGGUGGGAGACAGAGGCCGCCUUCCGAGCUGCAGACCAGGAAGCACCGAUCGCUCUCCUGUAGCCGCUUUGCAGCCACGGUGUGGGCACCUGACGAGCUUGGCGUCGGACGCACCACCCGGAGCCCCUGCAGGACCUGGGCCGGUGCGUGGGGGCAGCGCAGCCACAUCCACGGGUGGGGGCGGCCGAGCGCCUUCCGCCCCGUCCCUGGUGCGACCGGCCGUGGACUGGCAGCCAGCCUGAGCCGGGUCGUCCGGCUUCGGCACCGCCGGAGUCUGGCCUUCCGGGCGGUUUCCUUCUUGCUGAAUGAGCCACGACUGCGUCUCUUCCAGCAAGAAGCCCGGAGAGGGGACGUUUCCCCCACGGCCGCCUGGGGGUGGCCGUAUUCUCGGCCCUUCUGUCACAGCUGGGUGCACGCCGGAUUCCCGGAGCCCAGCCUGUGGGAGGAGGGGCCGGCUGUCCUCCACGACGGCCCGGCAGGUGCUGGAAAUAGCCUUCCGGGGUUUUGUUGCCUUGGCUUAAGAUACCGUCAGUGACACUUCACUCCCCGGGAGGCUGGCCUGACGGCUUGCCUUCUCAUGUUCUCAGGGACAUAGGCCAAAAGCAAGCUUCUUCCUGAUCUACUGGAUUAGUGACGAUCAGGGGGAGAAAAGGCCCAUGGUGGGGAGUGCUGGCCACCGCUGACCCCUAAGUGGGCAGGUAUCUCCCCCUGUCCCGGGCAUGGGCCUCUGCCACUCCCGGCAGGGGGACAUCGGAGCAGCCUUGGGGGGGGUGGGGGAGGGGGCGGCCUGACAGCACAGAGACACUAACAGCUCGUUCUGCGCCCAGCAGACGUUACCAAGCACCCCCUUCACACCAGACACGGCUCCAGGCCCUGGAAUCACAAAGGCCUCCACACCGGACCCCCGGUGGGUGGGAUCAAGGACCGACUCCUGCCGCCAAGAGAUUGGCAGGUGAAACGAGUGCGGUCUGUCCCCGCGGCAGAAUAUUACCCAGCCUUAAGAGGGAAGAUGUUCUGACACACGAUAUGGGGACGAACCUUGAGGACACUGUGCUCCAUGAAGUAAACCAGUCGCGGAAGUCACACUCACAGAGGCACCUAGAAGGGUCAGACCCAUAAACACGAAAAGUAGAACGGGGGCCGUCAGGGGCCAAGGGAGACGGAUGGCGAGUGGGCGUAUUUAAUGGGGACUGAGUUUCAGUUUGGGGAAAACGGAAAGUUCUGGAGAUGGACGGUGGGGAUGGGUUGCACGACAACGUGAACGUACCUAAUGCCACAGAACUGUAUGCUUAAAAAUUUAGUUCAGAUGGUGGAUUUAUGUUCCGUAUAUUUUACUACAAUGACAGAAGAGAAAAACCAGGGAAAGGGCUGCAGAGAGCGGAGAAGCAGGUUGAGCCGAUGCCCACCCAAAGGGGACAUUUGAGACUAGAAAGUCGUAUGAGGCCGCCUAGCAGCAGAUGGCAGGAGCACUUUUGCCUGGUCACGGACAGACCGCCUCCCCAGAGGCCGGCUUUGGUUAUUCGGGUCAGCUCGCUGGUCUGGAGGUCACGCGUGACAAGUCCCACCCAAAGACACGUGUGCGCUAAGGCUCUGCACUGGGUGAGUCCCCGGCUUCCAAGGUCCCGGCGACCGUGUCCGGGCUGUUGGCUCUUACAGCAGAGGCCACGGGGUCAGGAGAACGGAGGAGCUUUACAAGCCAGCGGGCACGGCCAGGGUGGCCUGCCGAUCCCUCUUAACCCUUUACCGGAACCACCGGGAGAGCGGGGAGAGGAGGGAGGCCUGGCCCGCUGACCGGGCAGGGUGAGGCAGACGCCAGCAGGCGAUGCCCCAUCAGGGCACCACCCACCCUGGCGCCCGCCGGGGUCCCCGAAAGCUGGCCUUACGGCGGGAGGCCCGCUCUGGCUGCGCGGCGUGUCCCCCGGCUACCCGGGCAGGGUGCUCGUGGGCGCUCCACCAGGGCACACGUUCACCGGUGAGCAGGGACCCUGCGUGCUGCCUGGUGGGCGAGCUCGGCGGGCAGUGUGUGUGCAAGCUGAUGGCCUCAGGACCGUUUGAGCCGUCUAGAUUUUUUUAAUUUAAAAUUAAGUGAGAAUUUAACGGACAGUAACAAAUACGUGCCAGGUAUUUCUAAUUUAAUGAAUAAAAUCAAAAGUUGCGUUAAAAAAUUUUUUUUUAACAUUUAUUCAUUUUUGAGAAAGAGACAGCAUGAGUGGGGGAGGGGCAGAGAGAGAGGGAGACACAGACUCCGAAGCAGGCUCCAGGCUCCGAGCUGUCAGCAGAGAGCCCGACACGGGGCUCGAACUCAUGAACCGCGAGACCGUGACCUGAGCCGAAGUCGCACACCUUACUGAGCCACCGAGGCGACCCAAAAGUUGCAUUUUGAAACAGGUAUUUACUCCACUAAAAGCUUAUACCUUUAAGGAAAGGCAAAGGCAGAUGAACCACGUGUGAUGACCCUGAGAGACAGUCCAAGGCCACUGACAAGACGGGAGGACUGGGGGGCACAGGGACGGGAGGCUGCUGGAAACCGCGGAGGCCGUGGUCAGACACUCUGGGUGACCCAGUUCUGACGUCACGGCGGGAACAAAACCUGGCCCAGGCUCAGAAGGGUCUCACUCAAUGGCCAACGGCCCAGGAGAGCACGCGGGGCUGGAAAUACCGCUGAGGCCACUGGGGAAAACUAAGCAGCCACCAGGCCCCAACACUGCAGAAAACAAACACUCCCGGGCAAAGAUUCAGGAUCCAAACGGUUACAGGACGUCCACUCGACGGGCAGCGAACCGUGAGACAACCUCUCCAAUCCCAAGUAAGGAUGGUUUGCAAGCCGCGUUUUCCCCUUCCGGAUCCCGGCGUUAACUGCUGGGCCUCCCGAGAGCUGGUGACGGACCGCACACGCGGGGUUUGGACAAGAUUUGGACAAGGCCCCGCGUCCCUGCGUCCCUCCACCCCGGGCACCCGGCUUGGGAUGUGCGUGUCCUGACAGCCUGACAGAGCGGCGGGAUGCACAGGCCUGCCUCUGCCUCCCUCCCCUCCCCUCCGACCUGUCUUCCAGCCUCACUGUCCGUCCUGUUGCCACCCUGCUCCCACUCCAGGCGGAGAGGCCCCGAGAACGUCGGCCUGACAACACGGGCAGCGGGUGACCCACUGCAUCCUAUGUCUCCUCGCGCUCAGAGCUGCGGCUGCGGGGCUACCCGGUGACUGGAUCCAAAGAGGGACAAACCCCUUCGGGGCGGCCCCCCUUCAGCAGAGCACCGGGAGGGGAAAGACGACAGCCCGGACAUUAGGGGCCCGCCCCCCACCAAGAGGCCGUGUUCGCUCACAGGGGUGCUGGGGGCAGGGCGGGGCCCGGGGAGACCCCCACCCGCCAGCCCGACCCUUCUCUCACAGGGAGCAAAGGCCCUAAUCCACGAGGGGAGGAGCUGCCGCCGCCCCCUGAAGGCCCUACCUCUGGCCCGAGGCCCCCUGCCUCCCAAGACUGUUCCCCGACGGAAGGCAACCUGCCGCAGAGGCGUGAGUGGGCAGGGCUGAGAAGGGGGGCCCUGCGCCCCGGGACGUGCCCGCAGCACAGGCUGAACCCGGAGGGCCCGGGCCUCCACCUCCGGCCUCGCCCGGGCUGGUGCUGGGGACAGGGGCAGGGCCUCGCCGGCUGGAGGGACGUGGGGGUAAAAGGCUGCCACAGAACUGGACUCCCCCUGUCCCGCACGGACGACCUGACAGAGGGGGAGGCCCAUUCCCGGGCCCCGAGGACGACCCGCCCUGGUCCCCCUGCCCCUCCACCGCCACGCGGCCUUCCGUCCGAGUCAGGAGGCCCGACCCCCCUGUCAACCGAGCCAGACCCGAGAACACCUGCUUGCCACGCGCACCUGGCUCAUCCGCCUACAGCCCUGCACCCACCACCUCUCACCUCUCCCCGGCCCGGGCGCCCAGGAUGUCUCCGCAGAGGCCCUCAGGGGACCCUGUCGCGGCCCCCCGGCUGGGCCUGUGGGACGGCGCACACCGGGAGGACCCCGCGACGGCGGUCCCGGUGAGGAGGGUCCUACCCCCAGGCCACAGGCCCCCAUUUCCGAGACAAAGCAGCUUCAAGCCCUAGAUCCCUGACUGUGGUGAGCCACCGGCGGGCCGAGCAGUGUCACACUGGCCCUUCAGGGACCUGCCCACGACGUCCCCUGCCCUGCUCUGGGUUGCCAGGCCUCUUCGUUUUGACUUGCAGGACUCUCCCCUCAAACGUAAACGCGGACUCCCCGCUGGCUGUCGAUGUUAGAAAAGAAAAACACUUCUCUCAGAUUCCCACCUGCUCGGUGCACAGCGUCCUUCCCUGACACAAAUGCUUCCUCUGGAUCCGGCCAAACCCACUGGGCCGUUUACGUGUCUGGGGUCUUAAAAGGCUUCCCACGAGGUGAGAAAGACGCCCCUCAUCAUGUCCCACUGACCCAGCGCCGUCCCCCCGCGGCCCCCGGACCGCUGGCGUCGGCCCUCCCCCCACUUUUCUCCACCUGCUCUGAUCAGCGACCUCCUGGGGGCCCAGCCCAUCGUCCUCCACACACUCAACUUCUCCUUCUAGAAACACUCCUUCCGUGGCUGCUCUGCCUCCAGCUCCAGCCGUGUCUAACAGAACUCUGGUUUCGAGGGCUCAGGUCUACACUGGCAGCGAGCGUAAACGGUUACAGGCCUCACCGCUUCUUUCUGACACGACCGCUGUGUUAGUAUCAGACGAAACUGAGGUGACGUGAAGCAAAAUAUUUUAAAACGUACCUGAUUUCUUUCUACACGCCAUUCUCUGAAAACGCCUAAGCAACUAAAGCCAUCGACAUCUUUAAAACGUGCCUUUUCAACCACACUGCAACUUAAGAACUCCUCGUUCAUAUUAAAGUCACCACCGGCUUUUGCAGGCUGACGUCCUGGGUUCAUUUAAAUGACGAUGCGGGACGCGGAACCACCUGUGCGAGAUCCGCCUCCUAAAUGCCGUCUGCGUGGAAAAUACCGGUUAGUCCAGUGCGCCACCCCAGGCAGGCCUUAGCUGAGAGCAGGUGGGCCGCCUCCUUGGGCGGCCAGGCCUGGGCCUGGGGACAGGGGGCGGGACCAGGCCGGUGGGCGCCCCGGAAGGCAGCCCCGGGCCCGCCGCCUGCCUGGGGUCCUCUGUCUCCUGGUCCCACGUGCCUCGACGCUCUGCUCUGCAGCUGUGCAAACUCGAGCGUAAAAACGGUUCGGAGAUCUUAGGUCUUAGCGAAGACGGCAGGGCCUGUUGUGAAAGGGCAAAAAUAACUGCCACUGAAAACUGCUUCUCGGAAUGUCUAGAGCACAGCACUCGGGCCAAACACCAAACGCAGAACGUAAUGACCUCUGCAGAGAAUAACCGAAUGCAAACGUUGAUCCGAACAGGUUUCUGAUUUUCAGGGUUCGCCACGUCAUCACUCAUUUACUCAUCUCUCCAGACAGACGGAUAGAUUUUAUUAGUUAUAACAUUUUCGACAGGAGGGGAGGUGGGUGGGGGGAGGGGCUAGAUGGGUGACGGGCGUUAAGGAGGCACCUGUUGGCAUGAGCACCGGGUUUCGUAUGGAAGCGAUGAACCACUGGGUUCUCUUCCUGAGGCCAAGUCUGCAGAGAAUGUUAACUAACUUGGAUUUAAAUAAAACCUCGGAAGAAAAUAAAUGUUAAUUUUUGAGCUAGAAUAAACCUUAUAAACCAAUUUCUUCCUUUUACCAACAAAGCCCUUGAACCCUCAAGGCGCCAAGGACCGGGCCAAGGUCUCACCUGGUUAACAACUCGUGUCCGCCUCUCACCUCUGACCUAGUGGAGCUGGAGAGAGCACACAGGGGCUCCAUUUGCCAUCAAAUUGCUCAGAACGUUUCCUAAAACAACAGACUUCAGAGCCGGCUGGUCGAGUCACCCGCAAGGCUUGCAAUUUCAGAUGCACUUUUUAAAAAUACUCGAGUCUGCUGACCUUAGCCUCUGAGCAUAAACAGCGUGGGGGGAGUUCCAACACACUGGCCUACGAAGAAGAAACCUCGCUGAAAGGCCUUAACGUGGCGCUCCGACGUGUCCGGGAGCGGCCGUGGGUCAUUCCACAACACGCGCUAUGAUAGGCAAUAUGUCACCGACGAAGCAUUUUCCCAUUAGUGUCAAAAUAGUUACGUUUAUGAUAAACCACAACAAAAAACAAACAAAAGCUUUCCGAUUCUUUCCCGGAAUGCCAACAACUAAUGGAAGUGAGCAGCUGAAGAAGAUUCCAGAAAAUGCAAAUGGACCUGAGUGCUCCACCAGUGCAAUCCUCCUUUUCCAACAACGUGCAGGGGUCACUACGAGCCCCGCGUCACCAGCGAAACCCGUCAACAGUUUGAGUGUUUCCUUAAAAUGGAAAAACAGCCCACGGUGCCACCAGCUUUACAAAAUAACACAUCCACGAAGCAUGUUUCUAUUUUUAAUUUUUUUGCUUUGAUAAAUCAAUUGCUUCACAAAAAUCCCCUUUCGAGACAACAAUCCAA